UACGGAGGGUGCAAGCGUUAUCCGGAUUUACUGGGUUUAAAGGGCGUGUAGGCGGGCUUUUAAGUCAGUGGUGAAAUCUCCGGGCUCAACCCGGAAACUGCCAUUGAUACUAUUAGUCUUGAAUUUUGUUGAGGUAGGCGGAAUAAGUCAUGUAGCGGUGAAAUGCAUAGAUAUGACUUAGAACACCAAUUGCGAAGGCAGCUUGCUAAACAAAUAUUGACGCUGAGGCACGAAAGCGUGGGGAGCAAACAGG
rnacentral:rRNA from 1 species